rnacentral:rRNA from 1 species
GUGGGGAAUAUUGGACAAUGGGCGAAAGCCUGAUCCAGCCAUGCCGCGUGUGUGAAGAAGGCCUUCGGGUUGUAAAGCACUUUAAGCGAGGAGGAAGGUUCGUCACCUAAUACGUGACGGAAUUGACGUUACUCGCAGAAUAAGCACCGGCUAACUCUGUGCCAGCAGCCGCGGUAAUACAGAGGGUGCAAGCGUUAAUCGGAAUUACUGGGCGUAAAGCGCGCGUAGGUGGUUUUGUAAGUUGGAGGUGAAAUCCCCGGGCUCAACCUGGGAACUGCCUCCAAAACUGCAGGACUAGAGUACGGUAGAGGGUAGUGGAAUUUCCUGUGUAGCGGUGAAAUGCGUAGAUAUAGGAAGGAACACCAGUGGCGAAGGCGACUACCUGGACUGAUACUGACACUGAGGUGCGAAAGCGUGGGGAGCAAACAGGAUUAGAUACCCUUGUAGUCC